rnacentral:rRNA from 1 species
CCUGACUGCUAUCGGAUUGAUACUAAGCCAUGCGAGUCAUUGUAGUAAUACAAGGCAGACGGCUCAGUAACGCGUAGUCAACCUAACCUAUGGACGGGAAUAACCUCGGGAAACUGAGAAUAAUGCCCGAUAGAACAUUAUGCCUGGAAUGGUUUAUGUUCCAAACGAUUUAUCGCCAUAGGAUGGGACUGCGGCCUAUCAGUUUGUUGGUGAGGUAAUGGCCCACCAAGACUAUUACAGGUACGGGCUCUGAGAGGAGUAGCCCGGAGAUGGGUACUGAGACACGGACCCAGGCCCUAUGGGGCGCAGCAGGCGAGAAAACUUUGCAAUGUGCGAAAGCACGACAAGGUUAAUCCGAGUGGUUUCUGCUAAAGGAACCUUUUGUCAGUCCUAAAAACACUAACGAAUAAGGGGUGGGCAAGUUCUGGUGUCAGCCGCCGCGGUAAAACCAGCACCUCAAGUGGUCAGGAUGAUUAUUGGGCCUAAAGCAUCCGUAKCCGGCUCUGUAAGUUUUCGGUUAAAUCUGUACGCUCAACGUACAGGCUGCCGGAAAUACUGCACAGCUAGGGAGUGGSAGAGGUAGACGGUACUCGGUAGGAAGGGGUAAAAUCCUUUGAUCUAUUGAUGACCACCUGUGGCGAAGGCGGUCUACCAGAACACGUCCGACGGUGAGGGAUGAAAGCUGGGGGAGCAAACCGGAUUAGAUACCCGGGUAGUCCCAGCUGUAAACUAUGCAAACUCAGUGAUGCAUUGGCUUAUGGCCAAUGCARUGCUGCAGGGAAGCCGUCAAGUUUGCCGCCUGGGAAGUACGUACGCAGUAUGAAACUUAAWGGAAUUGGCGGKGGAGCACCACAGGGUGAAGCCUGCGGUUC